rnacentral:rRNA from 1 species
GACGAACCACACGAACGUUAUUCGGAAUUACUGGGCUUAAAGGGUGCGUAGGCGGCGCAGAAAGUUGGGUGUGAAAUCCCUCGGCUCAACCGAGGAACUGCGCCCAAAACUACUGUGCUUGAGGAAGAUAGAGGUAAGCGGAACUUACGGUGGAGCGGUGAAAUGCGUUGAUAUCGUAAGGAACACCUGUGGCGAAAGCGGCUUACUGGGUCUUUUCUGACGCUGAUGCACGAAGCCAGGGGAGACAAACGGGG